rnacentral:rRNA from 1 species
GACGAACGCUGGCGGCGUGCUUAACACAUGCAAGUCGAGCGGUAAGGCCCUUUCGGGGGUACACGAGCGGCGAACGGGUGAGUAACACGUGGGUGACCUGCCCUCAGCUCUGGGAUAAGCCUGGGAAACCGGGUCUAAUACCGGAUAUGACUCCAUGACGCAUGUUGUGGGGUGGAAAGCCUUGUGCGGCUGAGGAUGGGCCCGCGGCCUAUCAGCUUGUUGGUGGGGUNAUGGCCUACCAAGGCGACGACGGGUAGCCGGCCUGAGAGGGCGACCGGCCACACUGGGACUGAGACACGGCCCAGACUCCUACGGGAGGCAGCAGUGGGGAAUCUUGCGCAAUGGGCGAAAGCCUGACGCAGCGACGCCGCGUGAGGGAUGACGGCCU